rnacentral:rRNA from 1 species
CUAAAGCAUAUCAAUAAGCGGAGGAAAAGAAACCAACAGGGAUUGCAUUAGUAGCGGCGAGUGAAGCGGCAAAAGCUCAAAUUUGAAAUCUGGCUCUUUCAGAGUCCGAGUUGUAAUUUGAAGAAGGUAUCUUUGGGUCUGGCUCUUGUCUAUGUUUCUUGGAACAGAACGUCACAGAGGGUGAGAAUCCCGUGCGAUGAGAUGAUCCAGGCCUAUGUAAAGUUCCUUCGAAGAGUCGAGUUGUUUGGGAAUGCAGCUCUAAGUGGGUGGUAAAUUCCAUCUAAAGCUAAAUAUUGGCGAGAGACCGAUAGCGAACAAGUACAGUGAUGGAAAGAUGAAAAGAACUUUGAAAAGAGAGUGAAAAAGUACGUGAAAUUGUUGAAAGGGAAGGGCUUGAGAUCAGACUUGGUAUUUUGUAUGUUACUUCUUCGGGGGUGGCCUCUACAGUUUAUCGGGCCAGCAUCAGUUUGGGCGGUAGGAGAAUUGCGUUGGAAUGUGGCACGGCUUCGGUUGUGUGUUAUAGCCUUCGUCGAUACUGCCAGCCUAGACUGAGGACUGCGGUUUAUACCUAGGAUGUUGGCAUAAUGAUCUUAAGUCGCCCGUCUUGAAACACGGACCAAGGAGUCUAACGUCUAUGCGAGUGUUUGGGUGUAAAACCCGUACGCGUAAUGAAAGUGAACGUAAGUGGGGGCCCGUAUGGGUGCACCAUCGACCGAUCCUGAUGUCUUCGGAUGGAUUUGAGUAAGAGCAUAGCUGUUGGGACCCGAAAGAUGGUGAACUAUGCCUGAAUAGGGUGAAGCCAGAGGAAACUCUGGUGGAGGCUCGUAGCGGUUCUGACGUGCAAAUCGAUCGUCGAAUUUGGGUAUAGGGGCGAAGGACUAAUCGAACUCAUCUAGUAGCUGGGUGCAUGCGAAGU